UUAGCAGCAAAGCCAGUAGUCAUGCUGGCAGCAACCAACCAACUUAGUGUGUUUGUGUUCUGGUCUCUGUGCUACAGCACUGGCUUUGCAAAAGACUUCUUGCCACAAACUCUUGUUCCUGUAUACUAUGGAGCAUUUCAAUUAUGCUACUUUAAAACUCAAGCAUUAAAAGCAUAAAGGUUCACUUCCCAAGACACUGUCUCAGGGAAGACUGAAGAAGAGACGAGGAUGGGGAGAUUCCUAUUGUUUAGACAGGACUGGUCGAUCUACUCAUUGGUGUUGAUAUGGAGAGAAAAAAAGAAACAAACAUGAGAGUCCCUCAGUUGGAAAAACAGCCAAAUGAAGCUUCUUGCUUCACCAGACUUCACAGAGAAAAGAGAGGGCAGCAGAGUGAAUCCAUCACCCCCCCUUUCAGCAACGCUUUCUCCAUCACACAUGGGAAGCAACACCCUUCUGAGGAGGAUCCAUGCUGGAGCCAGCACAACACAGGAAACCUCCCAUGUUGUUAGGACAGGGCCUCCACCGGAAGCAACACAAUGCCAUGUGAUGAUCAGUGUGGUGCUCCAUCGCGAAAACAGGCUGGAAGUAUCCUAGAACGUUUAAUUUGGUGAGUGUGAUGAGGUGACUAGUCUCCAGAACAACAGAACACAACCUUAUAUCCUCCUCAAUGUGAUAUCCUUUCAAAUUUUAAAACAUGUUCUCUCUCUAUCUUCUUUAUAUUUAGUUUUUAUGUGCUGAUCUCAGUUUAGGUUUUCUAAUUAUAUUAUUAAAUUUCAUGUCUUUUAUUUUCUGAUUUCCCACCCAUUCUUCCUUCUUUGACUUGAAUUGACAGCUCAAAUUAUGUUUGUUGUUUACUUAGUUGGUUUAUUUUUCUGUCUAUACUAUGUGUAUGUGCAAGAAUUGCAAAUGCACAUUACACCUUAGUGCACAAGAACACACAUGUAUCGCAAAUUACCAUUGUGCAGAAAAGCAACAUAAAAGUUAACAAGUAUUUAAAAAUUGUUGGCUAGAAUAUAAUCCCAUGAACCAAGCUGCUGCAGAUUUGAAGAAAUCCCACCCCUGAAGUAGCCACUAUGUUUCCUGGUUUUAUUCACUUAAUGAGAAAACAAAAAUGCAAGUCAACAAAAGACAUAAAAUAUAGUGUAAGAAUUUCAACUCCAAUUCAGAUAUUAAUCAGAUCAGAAUUGCUUUGAAAUGAAUUGGACCUCAAUCUGAAUGACUAAUCUGGAUCCCUCUAGAAUCGGUAGGAUAGUUUUAUGCAGUUCUAAAAUAGAAACAGAGCAUUGAACUUCUGGUGCUAUCAAGUAAACAAAAUCAUCUGCAAAAAAUGACAUACACAAAAUCAAACAUGUUGUUUUCAGAGGACAACACUCUUUUCUUUUUGCACGAGGGUGCUUUCCAGUGAAAGGACUGCAUAAUGAGAUAAGACUACAUGUGACAGAGACAAGAGCCAUGGGAUUAUAUUGUUCCCUGUGAUGCUUUGAAUUCAAACCAGUAUCCCAAGAGACAAAAAUGUUACAGUUUUAGCUAAGCAAUUACAACAAGAGAUUUCAUAUGGUUCUGUGAUUCAGAGGCCUCAGUACAAAAUGAUACAACAAUUUUAAUUUUCUCCAGCUGGCUGUCCUACUCAAAUGUUUUAUGACAUUCCCGUUUUUUCAGUCUAACCAAAGGAAAGCUUCAUAUUCAUUUUGAUAAAAUAUUAUCCUGUGAAUUUUAAGAUGCUCAGAGUCUGAAAAGGCUUUUUAAAUAUUGGUAUCAGUCAGGCUAGUAAUACAGAUAUUUUACUGUUUUCCUGAUGUUGCUAUAGCUUUAGUAUCGUAAAAGAAGAGUAACUGCUAUCAUUCACUUCCAUUUCCUUCUCAUCUCCUAAUCAUUCCCAACUUCUUUCUGCUGUCUGAUUCACAACUGAUGCCACUCACAAAUGACCUAAUAAUGUCUAUUCUCGAGAUCCUGACUGUCUCUCAUACAGAACUAAGCCAACUCCCCCUAAAUGGAGGUCACUUUUAUUCUUGUACCCUAUUUGCCUAGAAAGUGUAUUAAGCAGAACUUUUUAGACAUCCCUUUUCUAGAGGCAGGUUAUUGUAGAGAUCCAAAAUGUGGGAAACAAAUAAAAAUUUAUAUUCUCUUUAUCUAUAUAUGUCUUUUAUGUUUGCAUAGGUGUGUGUGAAUAUGAAUAUAUUAUUUGUGUUUUAUGUACAUAGAUGACAGAGAUGCAGAUGGAAAAGUAGCUACACUAACUACAUGAGCCUAUUACAGGACUUGUUCUCUUUUUUUUUUACCAUAAAUUAUAAUUAAUCAAUUAUGGGGGAAAUAUAGAUCAUAGAAUUAUAAAAUCAUAGAUUUAGAAGAGACAACAUGGGUCAUCUAAGCUGGAAAAGCACAAUUAAAGCAUCCCUGACUGAUCAAUAUGUAGUGUUCACGAUUUUCAUUCCAACAUAGUGUUUCCUUUGCCAAUAUGCUUUGAAUUCUUGAAUAAUGUUUCCCUGUAUACUUCUGUUUUUCACAGCGAUAUAACAUCACACCAGAAAAUAUUUGCCCAUUUUCAAAUGACAUCCCAAAAAUAAUGCUUCAAAUUAUGGUCUGCUUAAUGAAUUGUACUCCAGAUGUUGUUGGGCUACAGCUUUUAGCUUGUUUCACCACUGGAGCUUCUCAGAGAUGGCACCUCCAUUAUGGAAGUGUAAUUCUUUGUACAUGUGUAGAAGACUGGAUAAAAUAAACAUAACAGUCUUGGUUUGGAUUACUUCAAUAAAUAUUGCUUGGUUCCAU